rnacentral:tRNA from 1 species
UCCCUGGUGGCUCAGCUGGUAAAGCAUCUGCCUGUAUUGCAAGAGAUCCAGGUUCAAUUCCUGGGCCUGGAA